rnacentral:rRNA from 1 species
AGAGUUUGAUCCUGGCUCAGGAUGAACGCUGGCGGCGUGCUUAACACAUGCAAGUCGAACGAAGCACUUUUGAUUGAGACUUCGGUGGAUUGAGGAAGUGACUGAGUGGCGGACGGGUGAGUAACGCGUGGGCAACCUGCCUUGUACAGGGGGACAACAGUUGGAAACGACUGCUAAUACCGCAUAAGCGCACAGCUUCGCAUGAAGCAGUGUGAAAAACUCCGGUGGUACAAGAUGGGCCCGCGUUGGAUUAGCUAGUUGGUGGGGCAACGGCCUACCAAGGCGACGAUCCAUAGCCGACCUGAGAGGGUGACCGGCCACAUUGGGACUGAGACACGGCCCAAACUCCUACGGGAGGCAGCAGUGGGGAAUAUUGCACAAUGGGCGCAAGCCUGAUGCAGCGACGCCGCGUGAGCGAUGAAGUAUUUCGGUAUGUAAAGCUCUAUCAGCAGGGAAGAAAAUGACGGUACCUGACUAAGAAGCUCCGGCUAAAUACGUGCCAGCAGCCGCGGUAAUACGUAUGGAGCAAGCGUUAUCCGGAUUUACUGGGUGUAAAGGGAGCGUANACGGAUCAGCAAGUCUGAUGUGAAAGCCUGGGGCUCAACCCCGGAACUGCAUUGGAAAUUGUUGGUCUUGAGUGCCGGAGAGGUAAGCGGAAUUCCUAGUGUAGCGGUGAAAUGCGUAGAUAUUAGGAGGAACACCAGUGGCGAAGGCGGCUUACUGGACGGUAACUGACGUUGAGGCUCGAAAGCGUGGGGAGCAACAGGAUUAGAUACCCUGGUAGUCCACGCGGUAAACGAUGAAUACUAGGUGUUGGGCAGCAAAGCUGUUCGGUGCCGCAGCAAACGCAAUAAGUAUUCCACCUGGAGAGUACGUUCGCAAGAAUGAAACUCAAAGGAAUUGACGGGGACCCGCACAAGCGGUGGAGCAUGUGGUUUAAUUCGAAGCAACGCGAAGAACCUUACCAAGUCUUGACAUCUCCCUGACCGGCGCGUAAUGGUGCCUUUCCUUCGGGACAGGGAUGACAGGUGGUGCAUGGUUGUCGUCAGCUCGUGUCGUGAGAUGUUGGGUUAAGUCCCGCAACGAGCGCAACCCCUAUCUUCAGUAGCCAGCAUUUUGGAUGGGCACUCUGGAGAGACUGCCAGGGAUAACCUGGAGGAAGGUGGGGAUGACGUCAAAUCAUCAUGCCCCUUAUGACUUGGGCUACACACGUGCUACAAUGGCGUAAACAAAGGGAAGCAAUCUCGCGAGAGUGAGCAAAUCUCAAAGAUAACGUCCCAGUUCGGACUGCAGUCUGCAACUCGACUGCACGAAGCUGGAAUCGCUAGUAAUCGCGAAUCAGAAUGUCGCGGUGAAUACGUUCCCGGGGUCUUGUACACACCGCCCGUCAA